UACGGAGGGUGCAAACGUUGCUCGGAAUUAUUGGGCGUAAAGCGCACGUAGGCGGACCAUCAAGUCGGAUGUGAAAUCCCUCGGCUUAACCGAGGACGUGCAUUCGAUACUGAUGGCCUUGAGUACGAAAGAGGAUCGCGGAAUUCCCGGUGUAGAGGUGAAAUUCGUAGAUAUUCGCAAGAACACCAGUGGCGAAGGCGGCUCACUGGCUCGGUACUGACGCUGAGGCACGAAAGCGUGGGGAGCAAACAGG
rnacentral:rRNA from 1 species